GACAGAGGGUGCAAACGUUGUUCGGAUUUACUGGGCGUAAAGGGCGCGUAGGCGGUCAGCACAAGUCAGUUGUGAAAUCUCCGGGCUUAACCCGGAAAGGUCAACUGAUACUGUGCGACUAGAGUGCGGAAGGGGCAACUGGAAUUCUCGGUGUAGCGGUGAAAUGCGUAGAUAUCGAGAGGAACACCUGCGGCGAAGGCGGGUUGCUGGGCCGACACUGACGCUGAUGCGCGAAAGCCAGGGGAGCGAACGGG
rnacentral:rRNA from 1 species